UCAGACCCCAGACAUCAGACCCCAGACAUCAGACCCCAGACCUCACACAGCACAAAGAAAACAGAGAAAACACCAGGCUAGAAAUAGACUUGGAGAAUGGCAUCUACAGUGCUCCGCCGACAGACACACUUCCUGUGGAGCUUCCUGUGAUUGGACCAAAUGCCAGGCCCUUUGUGAGGUCAUCGGCUAACAGACGUUGUCGUGCGAAUGGUAAUUGGAUUAUGGCUUGUACUCAUGAAGCGCUAAUCUAGGACCAGGGCCGUAUUCAUGAGGUGUCUGAGUUGGAGCACUAAUCUAGGACCAGGGCUGUAUUCAUGGUGUCUGAGUUGGAGCACUAAUCUAGGACCAGGGCCGUAUUCAUGGUGUCUGAGUUGGAGCACUAAUCUAGGACCAGGGCCGUAUUCAUGAGGUGUCUGAGUUGGAGCACUAAUCUAGGACCAGGGCUGUAUUCAUGGUGUCUGAGUUGGAGCACUAAUCUAGGACCAGGGCUGUAUUCAUGAAGAGUCUCAGAGUUGGAGUGCUAAUCUAGGACCAGGGCCGUAUUCAUGGUGUCUGAGUUGGAGCACUAAUCUAGGACCAGGGCCGUAUUCAUGGUGUCUGAGUUGGAGCACUAAUCUAGGACCAGGGCUGUAUUCAUGGUGUCUGAGUUGGAGCACUAAUCUAGGACCAGGGCCGUAUUCAUGGUGUCUGAGUUGGAGCACUAAUCUAGGACCAGGGCCGUAUUCAUGAGGUGUCUGAGUUGGAGCACUAAUCUAGGACCAGGGCCGUAUUCAUGGUGUCUGAGUUGGAGCACUAAUCUAGGACCAGGGCCGUAUUCAUGGUGUCUGAGUUGGAGCACUAAUCUAGGACCAGGGCCGUAUUCAUGGUGUCUGAGUUGGAGCACUAAUCUAGGACCAGGGCUGUAUUCAUGGUGUCUGAGUUGGAGCACUAAUCUAGGACCAGGGCCGUAUUCAUGGUGUCUGAGUUGGAGC